rnacentral:tRNA from 1 species
GACUCAUAGCUCAAUGGUUGAGCAUCGACCUGUUGUGCUGAAGAAUCAGGGUUCGAUUCCCGAAAGAGUCA